UACGGAGGAUGCGAGCGUUAUCCGGAUUUAUUGGGUUUAAAGGGUGCGUAGGCGGACGCUUAAGUCAGAGGUGAAAGGCUACGGCUCAACCGUAGUAAGCCUUUGAAACUGGGGAACUUGAGUGCAGGAGAGGAGAGUGGAAUUCCUAGUGUAGCGGUGAAAUGCGUAGAUAUCAGGAGGAACACCAGUUGCGAAGGCGGCUCUCUGGACUGUAACUGACACUGAGGCACGAAAGCGUGGGGAGCAAACAGG
rnacentral:rRNA from 1 species